AACCAAACUCAUGAGACCAGUUGAUUAGAAAAAGCAGAGAUAGCAAUGAGAUCCUGCUGUGUAGCACUGGGAACUAUAUCUAGUCACUUAUGAUGGAGCAUGAUGGAGGAUAAUGUGAGAAAAAGAAUGUAUGUAUGUGUGACUGGGUCACUUUGCUGUACAGUAGAAAAUUGAUGGAACACUGUAAAUCAGUUACAAUGGAAAAAAUAAAUCAUUAAAAAAUAAAAUUUAACAGUUUUUUUCAAAGAAGAAAAAUGAGAGAGAUGAGGAAGAUUAAUUACAUUAAUAAAGCGUGGAACCAGUCCGUUAAAAUACUUUUUAGGUAAUUCUUCAUCUGUGACUGUAAUGCUUUUAUAUGUUUGCCUCAGUAGAGUAUCACUUUUGUGAAAACAAGCUACUUGAGAGGAAUUCCCUUCGUGGCUCAGCAGAAUUGAAUCUGACUAGUAUCCAUGAGGACUCAGGGAUCGAACCUGAAACCUCAUGGUUCCUAGUUGGAUUUGUUUCCACUGCUCCAUGACGGGAACUCCAUAUCGUAUCUCCAUAUUGUGUAUUCUCUAUUUUCCCAUGAGGGAUUGAAAAUAAAUUGGAGUAUUAGGUUUAGUAGGUGGAAUAACUUGUAUUUGAGACCAUAGGAUUCUAAUAAAUGAUGUUUUGGAAGAAAUAUUGGUGGUUGGAACUUGUUGAGCUUUUGAUUCUGUCCUUUUAGGGAGGCUGCUGAUAAACAGGUUGGGAAGGGCCCCUGGAAGUGCUUAUAGGUAACAGUGAGUCCUCAAAACUUAGUGAUGUGUCAGAGAACAACCUGACAAAACCCUGUGAUAAUUUCAAAACCUUGUAGCCUUUCUUAUGGUGAUUUCCUUUCCACGUUGGUUCUUUACUUGACAUUAGUAACCAGAAGCAGAACAGAAUGUUCUGAAUUUCAUCUUUCCCUUAUCUGUUGAAUAGGCUAGAGGUGUAGAUUAUGAAAACUUAGAUAUUCAUGAGAGGAAUUCUUUUUUUUUCUUUUCUGUUCCUUGCCAGUCUUUUUCGUAUGCAUCCAGCCAUCUUGCUAAUUUUCUUGGGAUUGGGAGUGUGGCAGAAGCCUCACUCCUAUUGGGAAAAGGUUUGCAAGGAGGCCUGGUACAGAAUUGAUGAGCCAUGAGCAGAAGUUCUGAGACUGUUCUCCUUCUACCUAGUACCUUUCAAAGUUUGAAAGAAAGAAGUCAAAGCAGUUUCCAGUUGCAAAGUCCACCUCCCUUGCCGGGCACUGUGCUAACUGGGAGUACUUGCUAUGCAGGAGCAUAUGGCUAAUGGGAUGAGAAAGAGACAUUAGAGCAUAGGCUCUAUUCAUGAUUAAAAAAAAUAGGUAUCCUUUGGGUGCUGACACCAUCUUUCAUUCUGUGAAAGCAUAGCUAAUAAGAAUGGUAUUUGCCAUCAUCUUAGUGUACCAGACAAGCAUGUAAAGAAGUUGCUAGGUUUGUAGUGGUUUGUUUUUUCCCAAAGGAAGUAUCUUUUUUUUUUUUGCUUGUUUUUUUUUAGGGCCACACCCUUGGCAUAUGGAGAUUCCCAGGCAAGGGGUCUAAUUGAAGCUACAGCUGCAGGCCUACACCACAGCCACAGCAACGUGAGAUCCGAGCUGAGUCUGCAACCUACACCACAGUUCCUGGCAAUGCCGGAUCCUUAACCCAUUGAACGAGGCCAGGGGUUGAACCCGAAACCUCAUGGUUCCUAGUCGGAUUCUUUUCCACUGUGCCAUGAUGGGAACUCCAAAGGAAAUAUCUUUAAAAAAAAAAAAAAGGAAAAAAAAAA
rnacentral:lncRNA from 1 species